rnacentral:rRNA from 1 species
AUUGAACGCUGGCGGCAUGCUUUACACAUGCAAGUCGAACGGCAGCGCGGGCUUCGGCCUGGCGGCGAAUGGCGAACGGGUGAGUAAUACAUCGGAACGUGCCCAGUAGUGGCGUAUAGCCCGGCGAAAGCCGGAUUCAUACCGCAUACGACCCGAGGGUGAAAGCGGGGGAUCUUCGGACCUCGCGCUAUCGGAGCUGCCGAUGGCAGAUUAGCUAGGUGGUGGGGUAAAGGCCUACCAAGGCCACGAUCUGUAGCUGGUCUGAGAGGACGACGCGCCACACUGGAACCGAGAGACGGCCCAGAGUCAGACGGGAGCCACCAGUGGGGCAUUUUGAACCAUGGGCGACAGCCUGAUCCAGCAAAGCCGCGUGUGUGCUGAAGGCCUUCGGCUUGUAAAGCACUUUUGGCGGGAACGAAAAGGACUGUGCCAAUACCACGGUUCGAUGACGGUACCCGCAGAAUACGCACCGGCUAACUACGUG